GACGUAGGGUGCAGGCGUUAAUCGGAAUUACUGGGCGUAAAGCGUGCGCAGGCGGUUUCUUAAGUCAGAUGUGAAAGCCCCGGGCUUAACCUGGGAACUGCGUUUGAAACUGGGAGACUUGAGUGUGGCAGAGGGGGGUGGAAUUCCACGUGUAGCAGUGAAAUGCGUAGAUAUGUGGAGGAACACCGAUGGCGAAGGCAGCCCCCUGGGUUAACACUGACGCUCAUGCACGAAAGAGUGGGGAGCAAACAGG
rnacentral:rRNA from 1 species